UACAGAGGUCUCAAGCGUUGUUCGGAUUCAUUGGGCGUAAAGGGUGCGUAGGCGGCGCGGUAAGUCGGGUGUGAAAUCUCGGAGCUUAACUCCGAAACUGCAUUUGAUACUGCCGUGCUUGAGGACUGGAGAGGAGACUGGAAUUCAUGGUGUAGCAGUGAAAUGCGUAGAGAUCAUGAGGAAGACCAGUGGCGAAGGCGGGUCUCUGGACAGUUCCUGACACUGAGACACGAAGGCCAGGGGAGCAAACGGG
rnacentral:rRNA from 1 species